UUGUGCCACUGGCUCGUGUGUCCCCCCUUCCCUCGCCACUUUGGAAAUUGCUAUGCGAAACUAAGGUACAAGGAGUCAUUUAGUCGUCUCAUUUCGUACCGAUAACGUGGAUCGCGUUGCGUCAGGUUUGUAACGUAUUAUAACCUAUUGGUGGCAUCGGUUCUUUAUUACUUUCAUUAGUGUGUUUUUCGCAUUAUUCAUUACUAUAUUUUUAACUUCGUAACAUAUAUUUUUUUUGAUAGAGGAAACGCGCAAGUAAACUCAAGUACUUCAAAGCAAGAUUUCGCGUGCGUUUCUGGAAUAUUUGUGACCGCGUGCAAUGCGGUUUGUAGAGUCAGUGUUUGCUCCGCAAAAGUAUUUUUCAAUAUUUUCAAAUCACGGUCGUUUUGAUUAAAUCCAAUUAAAUAAUCACACGCGAAAGUAAUAAAAUUU